rnacentral:misc_RNA from 1 species
UACGUAGGUGGCAAGCGUUGUUCGGAAUUACUGGGCGUAAAGCGCGCGUAGGCGGAUUGGAAAGUUGGGGGUGAAAUCCCAGGGCUCAACCCUGGAACUGCCUCCAAAACUAUCAGUCUGGAGUUCGAGAGAGGUGAGUGGAAUUCCGAGUGUAGAGGUGAAAUUCGUAGAUAUUCGGAGGAACACCAGUGGCGAAGGCGGCUCACUGGCUCGAUACUGACGCUGAGGUGCGAAAGCGUGGGGAGCAAACAGG